GGUGUAAUGAGGUGUGAUGAUUGUCGUUGGGGUAUAAUGAGGUGCGGUGGCUUUUGUCGUUGGGGUGUAAUGAGGUGUGGUGAUUGUCGUUGGGGUGUAAUGAGGUGUGGUGAUUGUCGUUGGGGUGUAAUGAGGUGCGGUGACGUUUGUCGUUGGGGUGUAAUGAGGUGUGGUGAUUGUCGUUGGGGUGUAAUGAGGUGCGGUGAUGUUUGUCGUUGGGGUGUAAUGAGGUGUGGUGAUGUUUGUCGUUGGGGUGUAAUGAGGUGUGGUGACGUCGUUGGGGUGUAAUGAGGUGUGGUGACGUCGUUGGGGUGUAAUGAGGUGUGGUGAUGUCGUUGGGGUGUAAUGAGGUGCGGUGACGUUUGUCGUUGGGGUGUAAUGAGGUGACAUGACAGAACUCGUAUGAGCUCACGGCCUCCACUAAUCACACAUGUGAAGAAUGUGACUUCAAUGUCUUGGUUCUCUUUUUAGAUUUUACCCCUUCCUGCUUCUCAUAAUAUUCACGUUAAAGGACAAUUCAUGCCCCUGCCUCCUGCUUCGUUAAAGUUUCCUGUAUCACAGCAUUCCCCUUGUGAUAAAUGGGGAUAUUAACCUCAAAGCAAAGGAGCAGGUUUAUUCAGGUUAUUCUGCCAGAGGAGAAUCUUUUCAUCAUGUUCUACCAGUGGGACUAAACCAAAUACAACAGGAUGUUCUAUUGUACGUGUCUAUCUGGUUGAUCAGUGUUCAGACGCCUUUGGAUGAACUCUUUGUAGAUAGUUAUGAGGAGCAGAAUCAAACCGGAAUCUGACCUCCGGCGUGGGGCGUCACACAGACGGUGGUGGAGCUUGAACCAGGCCACUGUCAGCUCUUCAUCAUCAUAGUCAUCGUGUGGUCUGUCUUAGUAUUUCCUUGAUUCGUGGCCGGGACUCGUUCGUUCCAAAUCAUCGCUCACACAGAGGGAUCACAUGUCCCUCAGCUCCUUUAAUUCCACAUCAAUGACUGUUUGCUGCUGCCUUUAAUUGUCCAUUUCAUUCUUAAAGACAUUUUUAAACUACACUGCAAAUUUUAUUUUAUUUUUUUAACGUCUCUUUAAUGACUUUCUUUUACGUUCAAUCAAUGUUCUUCACUAAAUCUCCUUGCUUGGAUGUUUUUAAUAGUUUUAUGCAUUUUGAGUUGCCUUGUUGUUGAAAUGUGCUAUAGAAAUAGAUUGCCUUGCCUCCCACUAGCGAGCAGAGAGGGGGAGGAGCCUCUCCUGAUAGGAUGGUUCUCCAAAGGUUCCGACAGAUUCAUAUUAAAUCAAUCAAUUGUAAUCUCUCA